rnacentral:tRNA from 1 species
GGGGAUGUGGUCUAACUUGGUAUGACUGGCGCUUGGGGUGCGUCCAAUCCGAGUUCAAAUCUCGGCAUUCCCA